CCUACGGGUGGCAGCAGUGAGGAAUAUUGGUCAAUGGCCGGAAGGCUGAACCAGCCAUGCCGCGUGAAGGUCAGUGCCCUAUGGGCGUUAAACUUCUUUUGUGCGGGAGCAAUAAUGGUCACGUGUGGGAUUUUGUAUGUACCAUAUGAAUAAGGAUCGGCUAACUCCGUGCCAGCAGCCGCGGUAAUACGGAGGAUCCGAGCGUUAUCCGGAUUUAUUGGGUUUAAAGGGAGCGUAGGUGGAUUGUUAAGUCAGUUGUGAAAGUUUGCGGCUCAACCGUAAAAUUGCAGUUGAAACUGGCAGUCUUGAGUACAGUAGAGGUGGGCGGAAUUCGUGGUGUAGCGGUGAAAUGCUUAGAUAUCACGAAGAACUCCGAUUGCGAAGGCAGUUCACUGGACUGCAACUGACACUGAGGCUCGAAAGUGUGGGUAUCAAACAGGAUUAGAUACCCCAGUAGUC
rnacentral:rRNA from 1 species